rnacentral:lncRNA from 1 species
UAACUAUCACUUCAAAGUUUAGGCUCUAUCUGGCAAACCAUCUUCCAAACACCUUUCACCAUAUUCCCCAAUGAAAAACUUCUUUCAUUACUUUCUAGAGAGCUUGGUAAAAAGAAAAAGAAAAAGAAAGCUUGUUAAUAAAAAUAAAACAAAGAGCUUGUGAAAAAAAUAUUAAUCACACUGCAUUAGCAUAUUGCAUACAUAAUGCAUGUCUAACUUUC